UGGGGAAUCUUGCACAAUGGGCGCAAGCCUGAUGCAGCAACGCCGCGUGCGGGAAGAAGGCCCUAGGGUUGUAAACCGCUUUCAGCAGGGAAGAAAAUGACGGUACCUGCAGAAGAAGGUGCGGCCAACUACGUGCCAGCAGCCGCGGUGACACGUAGGCACCAAGCGUUGUCCGGAUUUAUUGGGCGUAAAGAGCUCGUAGGCGGUUCAGUAAGUCGGGUGUGAAAACUCUGGGCUCAACCCAGAGAGGCCACCCGAUACUGCUGUGACUUGAGUACGGUAGGGGAGCGGGGAAUUCCUGGUGUAGCGGUGAAAUGCGCAGAUAUCAGGAGGAACACCAGUGGCGAAGGCGCCGCUCUGGGCCGUAACUGACGCUGAGGAGCGAAAGCAUGGGUAGCAAAGCAGGAUUAGAUACCCUGGUAGUCCAUGCCGUAAACGUUGGG
rnacentral:rRNA from 1 species